CGUGUAGGCGGCGUGAUAAGUCAGAUGUGAAAUCCCUGGGCUCAACCCAGGAAGUGCAUUUGAAACUGUCUUGCUUGAGUACGGGAGAGGGAAGAGGAAUUCCUGGUGUAGAGGUGAAAUUCGUAGAUAUCAGGAGGAACACCGGUGGCGAAGGCGACUUCCUGGCCCGAUACUGACGCUGAGACGCGAGAGCGUGGGGAGCAAACAG
rnacentral:rRNA from 1 species